rnacentral:rRNA from 1 species
UGAACGCUGGCGGUAUGCCUAACACAUGCAAGUCGUACGAGAGUUUUUAACUCUAGUGGCGGACGGGUGAGUAACACGUGAGAAUUUACCUUUAGGAGGGGGAUAACAAUUGGAAACGAUUGCUAAUACCCCAUAUGCUUUUGAGUGAAAUGGAUUUAUAUUUAUCCGCCUAGAGAGAAGCUCGCGGCUGAUUAGCUUGUUGGUAAGGUAAGAGCUUACCAAGGCGACGAUCAGUAUCUGGUUUGAGAGGACGAUCAGACACACUGGAACUGAGACACGGUCCAGACUCCUACGGGAGGCAGCAGUGGGGAAUUGUCCGCAAUGGGCGAAAGCCUGACGGAGCAAUACCGCGUGAGGGAAGACUGCCUAUGGGUUGUAAACCUCUUUUUUCAGGGAGGAAUAAAAUGACGUGUACCUGAAGAAUAAGCAUCGGCUAACUCC